GGGAAACAGUUUUAUUGAAGCUUUAUUUCUUGAACUGUAAUAAAACGCGACCGAACCAAGACCCAAAGAACCACAGAGAAAUGUAAUGACACUAAUAUCACUCAGACAUUGCUCCCGAAAGCGUAACAACAGAAACCAAAGAGAGAUCAUUAUAUUUAGUUCCUGUGGUGUUUUGCGAUGUCUUGAUGGCCAUUACAGUUACCAAAUGGCUCUUUGUGGGGUAUUUAGACGAUUAGGGAACGUGACUCGCUGUUGGUCUGCGUGUGUGUGUGUGUGUGUAAUUACUGAAGGCAAGAUUAUCAGUAUUGGUUUUUGCGUAAGAGCGAAAGUAAGUUCAUUAAAUUUUACUGCUGGAUGCCAUUAACCGCUUUACGUGCUUGUGUGUGUGUGUGUGUGAGGGGGGGAGAGAAGGAAGGAAGAAAGAAAGGAAAGAAGAAGGAAGGAAAGACACUCGCUACACUUUCCCUCCACUCCUUUUAUUUAACACGGCAAUCCAGUCCCUUCACCUUCCCCAACAAGUACAUAAACAUCUUCGGCCAGUACACGAACCAGUCACGUCUCCGAAUGACCUCAAUCACAUCUCCAUUCUCCAUCUCAAGAGUGUGUGUUUGCAGACGGUGAUAAUGAAAAACUUGGAGUGAAUGCAAACAGUAUGUAUUUACCUUCAGUACCACCAGAUAAUAACUAUAACGUUGCACAGGCGCUUGGUUCUCGUGUAAUUAGGUAACCGAAUCUUUAUAUAUCACAACCUGGGAACACUACACCAAACUCAAGGGAAAGUAUACCAAGAACAGAUGAACUAGAACACGAGAUACCGGUGCUAAUAACGAUGCAAAUGAACAGGAAUACAAUGUUGCUGAAGUAUUUCUGCAUCACAACCUGGAAACAGUGCACCAAACUCAAGGGAAAGUAUACAAAGAACUUAUUACCUAGAACACGCGCUGCCCUUGCUAAUAUUACUGCAAAUAAACUUGAAUACAUUGUUGCUUAAGUAUAUCCGUCUUGAAUAAGCUAAUCUGAAAGGCAACUACGGAACAAUGCCUCGAGGUAGAGAGACAAAAAGUUAACCCGACACCAAGAAGCUUAAAA